UAUUAUCAAAGAAGGUUCGCUCUAUCACUUAAAGUAGAACACAAGCAGUUUUCGGUCAAGGUGCUAAUCCCUCUGCAUAUAUUCUACCUGUGUCUGCAGUUGUACCAUGCCUAAGUUUUUUUCCUAUGUCGUCCACUUUUUGGAGGAGCCUUAAAUUAGUUUGUCAUCAAAGGGCUCAUGAAAUGCUGUUCCAAAACGUCGAGUUGUAAAGAGCCGGCAUCAUUAUAGUGGGUUUCCUCUACCACUCAGAGUAGAACACAAGCAUUCUUGUUCAAGGUGCUAAUUCCUGUAUAUAAAGCUAAGUAUUGACAAUUAUACCAUGCCCAACUACCUCAAUGUGUUUUCUAGUUUUUGGAGGAGGAUCCAACUUACUGAACCAAUUAUUUGAGGACUGCGAAAGUACUGGCACUAAACAUCUAGUCAGAAAGUACUGAAUAAUUGGUCUUGUUUAUGUAUUUUGUAAUCUUUAAAGGGUUUCUGAUGAGCUGCAAAACCUUCAAAAGCCAAGGAAUCAAUGCUGGCUUCGAAAAGUCAGGAAACUUGAGGUUCUGAACUCAUGGUCUAGCUGAUAUUUACAGUUAUUCCAACAUCAUUUUUUUAAAAAUUCAGUGAUCUUCUGCUCUUUUCGGAGUAUUUUCCAUGAGAAUUUUAAACCUUGAUGUUGGUUCGGUAUCUUUUUGACGAAAUAAAAUAGGAGCAGAAAUUUUUGAAGCAAUACAACUGAUACUGUGUGUCUAGCGACCGGGAAAACCGGGAAAGUCAGGCAGAUGAAAUUGGUCAGGGAGAAGUCAGGGAAAGUCAGGGAAGAAAAACGCAAAACCGGGAGAGAAGCGAACUCCCGUCGAAGAUCGCGAUUUUUUGCAUAACUUUACGGCGCUUCGAUAUUUAGCUGUGCAGCGCUCUCUCCCGGUCUGAGGUGCCAUCUGAACCGUUAGUGCUGACAUAGGACAAAGAGACUACGCAGCGUAGUCUCUUUAUUCUAUGGUGCUGACAAGUGGUGCUCUCUCUCUCUAUCGCUUUGUUCCGGGUGUGCUUUAUCAACGGCCGUUUCCGUUUCAUCGGUUGUUGAUGGUUCUUUGUGAUGAUUUUAUUUCUUCUAUUUUAUUUAAGAGGUUUCAUUGGAUUUUCUCCACAACGCGAAGUCGAAAACAAACAGUUCUUGGUCAUGUUCAAGGCGGUAAUUCCUCUACAUAGUGCCUACAAGUGUCGACGGCCAUAGCAUCCCUAAAUUGCUUACUGUGUUUUCUAUUUUUUGAAGACUGAUCUGCCUUUAACUCAGCCAGUCGUCAGAGGAUUGUUUAAAUACUGACCCAGAACAUCCAGUUGAAAAGAGGUGAGUUCUCGAUCUUGUACCUAUAUUUUAUAAUCU
rnacentral:lncRNA from 1 species